AAAAAUUUAGUUAAAACAUAACAUUAACUUGUCAAGUUAAAAUAACUAAAUUUAGUAAUUUUUA
rnacentral:tRNA from 1 species